rnacentral:rRNA from 1 species
CAGUCGCCGCGGUAAUACGGAGGGUGCAAGCGUUAAUCGGAAUUACUGGGCGUAAAGCGUGCGUAGGCGGUUCGUUAAGUCUGUUGUGAAAGCCCCGGGCUCAACCUGGGAAUGGCAGUGGAUACUGGCAAGCUAGAGUGUGUCAGAGGAUGGUGGAAUUCCCGGUGUAGCGGUGAAAUGCGUAGAGAUCGGGAGGAACAUCAGUGGCGAAGGCGGCCAUCUGGGACAACACUGACGCUGAGGCACGAAAGCGUGGGGAGCAAACAGGAUUAGAUACCCCGGUAGUCCCUGUCUCUUAUAC